CAGUCGCCGCGGUAAUACGAGGGGUGCAAGCGUUAUUCGGAUUGAUUGGGUGUAAAGGGUGUGCAGACGGCUUAUUAAGUCACUUGUUAAAUUCUUCGGCCUAACUGAAGGUCUGCAAGUGAUACUGAUGAGCUAGAGGGUGGAAGAGAGUAGUGGAAUUCUCGGAGUAGCGGUAAAAUGCGUAGAUCUCGAGAGGAACACCAAUGGCGAAGGCAGCUUCUUGGUCCAUCCCUGACGUUCAUACACGAAAGCGUGGGGAGCAAACAGGAUUAGAUACCCCAGUAGUCCCUGUCUCUUAUAC
rnacentral:rRNA from 1 species